rnacentral:rRNA from 1 species
GACGAACGCUGGCGGCGUGCCUAAUACAUGCAAGUAGAACGCACAGUUUAUACCGUAGCUUGCUACACCAUAGACUGUGAGUUGCGAACGGGUGAGUAACGCGUAGGUAACCUGCCUGGUAGCGGGGGAUAACUAUUGGAAACGAUAGCUAAUACCGCAUAAUAUUGAUUAUUGCAUGAUAAUUAAUUGAAAGGUGCAAUUGCACCACUACCAGAUGGACCCGCGUUGUAUUAGCUAGUAGGUGAGGUAACGGCUCACCUAGGCGACGAUACAUAGCCGACCUGAGAGGGUGAUCGGCCACACUGGGACUGAGACACGGCCCAGACUCCUACGGGAGGCAGCAGUAGGGAAUCUUCGGCAAUGGACGAAAGUCUGACCGAGCAACGCCGCGUGAGUGAAGAAGGUUUUCGGAUCGUAAAGCUCUGUUGUAAGAGAAGAACGGGUGUGAGAGUGGAAAGUUCACACUGUGACGGUAUCUUACCAGAAAGGGACGGCUAACUACGUG